rnacentral:rRNA from 1 species
UACGGAGGGUGCAAGCGUUAUCCGGAUUCACUGGGUUUAAAGGGUGCGUAGGAGGGCAGGUAAGUCAGUGGUGAAAUCUCCGGGCUUAACCCGGAAACUGCCGUUGAUACUAUUUGUCUUGAAUACCGUGGAGGUGAGCGGAAUAUGUCAUGUAGCGGUGAAAUGCUUAGAUAUGACACAGAACACCAAUUGCGAAGGCAGCUUACUACGGAUCGAUUGACACUGAGGCACGAAAGCGUGGGGAUCAAACAGG